UACGAGGACCCCGAGCGUUAUCCGGAAUUACUGGGCGUAAAGAGUGAGUAGCCGGUUAUAUUAGUCUGACGUUAAAUUCCGAGGCUUAACUUCGGAACCGCGUUGGAAACGGUAUGACUAGAGCGGGUAAGAGGUAAGCGGAACGUGCAGUGUAGGGGUGAAAUCCAUUGAUAUUGCACGGAACACCAAAAGCGAAGGCAGCUUACUGGUACUCUGCUGACGGUCAAUUACGAAAGCGUGGGGAUCAAAAAGG
rnacentral:rRNA from 1 species